GGUUAAGUGACUAAGCGUACACGGUGGAUGCCUUGGCAGUCAGAGGCGAUGAAAGACGUAGUAACUUGCGAUAAGCCCAGAUUAGGUAGUAACAACCAUUUGAGUCUGGGAUUUCUGAAUGGGGAAACCCACUUACAUAAGUAAGUAUCAUUAACUGAAUACAUAGGUUAAUGAGGCGAACCGGGGGAACUGAAACAUCUAAGUACCCCGAGGAAAAGAAAUCAACCGAGAUUCCGAAAGUAGCGGCGAGCGAAAUUGGACUAGCCCUUAAGCUUUACACGCGUUAGACGAACGGUCUGGAAAGUCCGACGAUACAGGGUGAUAGUCCCGUAGUUGACGACGUGUGUUCAGUGAAAUCGAGUAGGGCGGGACACGUGAUAUCCUGUCUGAAUAUGGGGGGACCAUCCUCCAAGGCUAAAUACUACUGACUGACCGAUAGUGAACCAGUACCGUGAGGGAAAGGCGAAAAGAACCCCUGUGAGGGGAGUGAAAUAGAACCUGAAACCGUGUACGUACAAGCAGUAGGAGCAGGCUUUGUCCUGUGACUGCGUACCUUUUGUAUAAUGGGUCAGCGACUUAUAUUCAGUGGCAAGGUUAACCAUCUAGGGGAGCCGUAGGGAAACCGAGUCUUAACUGGGCGUUCAGUCUCUGGAUAUAGACCCGAAACCAGGUGAUCUAGCCAUGGGCAGGUUGAAGGUUGAGUAACAUCAACUGGAGGACCGAACCGACUAAUGUUGAAAAAUUAGCGGAUGACUUGUGGCUAGGGGUGAAAGGCCAAUCAAACCUGGAGAUAGCUGGUUCUCCCCGAAAGCUAUUUAGGUAGCGCCUCGGACGAAUACUACUGGGGGUAGAGCACUGUUAAGGCUAGGGGGUCAUCCCGACUUACCAACCCUUUGCAAACUCCGAAUACCAGUAAGUACUAUCCGGGAGACACACGGCGGGUGCUAACGUCCGUCGUGGAGAGGGAAACAACCCAGACCGCCAGCUAAGGUCCCAAAUUACUACUAAGUGGGAAACGAUGUGGGAAGGCUCAGACAGCCAGGAUGUUGGCUUAGAAGCAGCCAUCAUUUAAAGAAAGCGUAAUAGCUCACUGGUCGAGUCGGCCUGCGCGGAAGAUGUAACGGGGCUAAGUAGUAAACCGAAGCUGCGGCAAUAUACUUUUGUAUAUUGGGUAGGGGAGCGUUCUGUAAGCGGUUGAAGGUGUGUGGUAACGCAUGCUGGACGUAUCAGAAGUGCGAAUGCUGACAUGAGUAACGAUAAAGGGGGUGAAAAACCUCCUCGCCGGAAGACCAAGGGUUCCUGUCCAACGUUAAUCGGGGCAGGGUAAGUCGACCCCUAAGGCGAGGCCGAAAGGCGUAGUCGAUGGGAAACGGGUUAAUAUUCCCGUACUUCUUACAAUUGCGAUGGGGGGACGGAGAAGGCUAGGUGGGCCUGGCGACGGUUGUCCAGGUUCAAGUGCGUAGGCUUAAGAGUUAGGUAAAUCCGGCUCUUUUUAAGGCUGAGACACGACGUCGAGCAUCUACGGGAUGUGAAGUCAUUGAUGCCAUGCUUCCAGGAAAAGCCUCUAAGCUUCAGAUUGUAAGGAAUCGUACCCCAAACCGACACAGGUGGUCGGGUAGAGAAUACCAAGGCGCUUGAGAGAACUCGGGUGAAGGAACUAGGCAAAAUGGUACCGUAACUUCGGGAGAAGGUACGCUCUUGAUGGUGAAGUCCCUUGCGGAUGGAGCUGACGAGAGUCGCAGAUACCAGGUGGCUGCAACUGUUUAUUAAAAACACAGCACUGUGCAAAAUCGUAAGAUGACGUAUACGGUGUGACGCCUGCCCGGUGCCGGAAGGUUAAUUGAUGGGGUUAGACUUCGGUCGAAGCUCUUGAUCGAAGCCCCGGUAAACGGCGGCCGUAACUAUAACGGUCCUAAGGUAGCGAAAUUCCUUGUCGGGUAAGUUCCGACCUGCACGAAUGGCGUAAUGAUGGCCACGCUGUCUCCACCCGAGACUCAGUGAAAUUGAAAUCGCUGUGAAGAUGCAGUGUACCCGCGGCUAGACGGAAAGACCCCGUGAACCUUUACUACAGCUUGGCACUGAACAUUGACCCUACAUGUGUAGGAUAGGUGGGAGGCUUUGAAGCACGUACGCCAGUAUGUGUGGAGCCGUCCUUGAAAUACCACCCUUGUAGUGUUGAUGUUCUAACGUCGACCCCUAAUCGGGGUUGCGGACAGUGCCUGGUGGGUAGUUUGACUGGGGCGGUCUCCUCCCAAAGAGUAACGGAGGAGCACGAAGGUGGGCUAAUCACGGUUGGACAUCGUGAGGUUAGUGCAAUGGCAUAAGCCCGCUUGACUGCGAGAAUGACAAUUCGAGCAGGUGCGAAAGCAGGUCAUAGUGAUCCGGUGGUUCUGAAUGGAAGGGCCAUCGCUCAACGGAUAAAAGGUACUCCGGGGAUAACAGGCUGAUACCGCCCAAGAGUUCAUAUCGACGGCGGUGUUUGGCACCUCGAUGUCGGCUCAUCACAUCCUGGGGCUGAAGUCGGUCCCAAGGGUAUGGCUGUUCGCCAUUUAAAGUGGUACGCGAGCUGGGUUUAGAACGUCGUGAGACAGUUCGGUCCCUAUCUGCCGUGGGCGUUGGAAGAUUGAAGGGGGCUGCUCCUAGUACGAGAGGACCGGAGUGGACGAACCUCUGGUGUUCGGGUUGUGUCGCCAGACGCAUUGCCCGGUAGCUAAGUUCGGAAUCGAUAACCGCUGAAAGCAUCUAAGCGGGAAGCGAGCCCUGAGAUGAGUCUUCCCUGAUACUUUAAGUAUCCUAAAGGGUUGUCGGAGACUACGACGUUGAUAGGUCAGGUGUGUAAGUGCUGUGAGGCAUUGAGCUAACUGAUACUAAUUGCCCGUGAGGCUUAACCAU
rnacentral:rRNA from 1 species